UUGACUUAACAGACUGGAUUGGAAAGGAAAUAUUAUGUACCUGGUGUAGAAAAUAUGUAACAUUGAAUAAUGUCAAUGUUAAUCUUUCCAAAUAAAUGUAUAAGUUUGAUGCAGAUCUACAAAAAAAAAAUCUGUUUGCAGAAGGAAAAAUAAUUAGGGCAUUUUCAGGACUGUGUAUCAGUAUUAGCAAAUCCAAGAUGGUGUGCUAUAUUUUUAAAUAAAAAGAAAUAAUGAGGUUUUGGGUGUUGAGGAAAUACUAAAUAUUUUACCUUUUAUUCAUCACACUAGCUGAGAAAACCAUUGCAAAAGACCACCUUCUAUGAUCCCAUUUAAAUGAUAUGUCCAGAAAAAGCAAAUCUACAGAGACAGAAAUUGAGAGAAGACUGCAGUUGGGCCUAUACCACAAGGGGGUCACCAGCAGUGGGACCACUUGGAAAGAGAGUUGUCCAAAUGAGGGAAGAUUAGCUGAACAGGGGGGUGCAGAGAGAAUGGUAUUUGGACCCUGAAAUCAAAAGACCCUCCUAGUGAAUGCACCUGACGUUGGGAAUUGCUCAUUGUGGAGCCUGGUAAGACUAGGACACACAGGAUAUAGACUGUGCUUAUUUAUAUAUUCCUGGUGCUUAUUUUCUUUAACAAAAAUUUGGACUAAGACAGUCCAGAGUUUCUCUGAAGCAACUGACCAGCUGUGAACUUGGAUACAUUACUUCUCCUUUCUGUACCUCAAUUUCCUCAUCUGUAAAUGGAGAUAAUAUUGCAUACCUCUUGGGGCUGUUCUGAAGAAUAAACAUCUGGUCUAAUUCCUGGCAAAUAGUAGGUUCUUGGUAAAUAUCAGUUCUCCCUCAUACUCCUUCUAAAAUAUUAUUUUAGAGAGAAUGCCGGAAAGUAGGAAAAUGUGGAGCUCUUCUGGUCAUUUUUCCCCUGUGGCUGGCAAGGGCUUGCUGCACUCUGUAUCUGGUGGGACCCAAAUAUGCAUCUCUGACCUAGCUUCAAACCUGUAUACUCGGCUGCCUACUCAGCAUCAAUUAGAUGUCUCACAGGCACAUCAUGCCCAAAACUCAUUAUCUCCCACCCCUCCAACCUGCUGAUCCUCAAGGCUAUGGUCCAUAUUCCGUCAAUAGCACCAACAUCCACCCAGCUGUUCAAGCUAGAAGACUGGGAGUUGUUCUUGACUCUUUCUUUUCCCUCAAAUCCCAAAUGUAAUCAAUCUUCAAGUUCUAUCAGUCUAUCUAGAGGUACAUAGAACCCAUUGUUUAAUUUUCAUCCAAAAAUCUUUAUUCAGCAGUGACUAUGGGUGAGGCAGGCACUGUGCCAGGCUCUGUCUUCACUGCCUCCUCCCCAGCACUGAUCACAGUCCUCCUGAUUUGACUGAAGAAAUAGCUUCCCAGUUAGUUGCCCUGAAUGAGCGUUUUACUUCUUUGAAUCCUUUCUGCAUAUUCUGCCAGAGAUUCAUUCUUUUGCUUAACACCUUAAGUGGCUUCCCACAGAGCCCUGAGGAAAGAACUCCUGACAUAGCUGGUAAGCCUCUCUAACAUUCAGGCCCACCGAGCACAAGUCAAGUCCCUGUGAUGGGCUCCAGUCAUUGGUGGGGUUCCCUGAGGUUGGGAUUUGAGAACAAGUGGUUCAUUUGGGAGGUAGUCUCAUGAAGCUGUGAUAGGAAGUGGAGGAAUGAGGAAGGAAGAAAAAGAGGCUUAUUCAGAGUGCCUUAAUGAACAGACUACUGGGAGAUGGGUAACGGGCUCAGUCUCACUGGGGAACUCUGGGAAACAAUAUAUGCCAUAUCCUGAAUUGCGUUUCCCCAAAAUUCAUAUGUUGAAGCCUAACCCUCAAUAUGACUGCAUUUGGAGAUAGGGAUAAUAAGGAGAUAAUUAAAAAUUAAGGAGGGCCUAUAAUGAGAUCUUAAGGGUGGGGCCUUGAUACAGUAGGAUUUGUGUAUUUAUAGGAAGUGACACCAGGGAGCUCCCCCGAAUUCUUUCUUUCUCUUUCUGAGAGAGCACAUAAAAAAGAGGUCAUGUGAACAUGCAGUGACAUGGUGGCCACCCACAAGCCAGGAAGAGAGGCUUCACCAGAAACCACCCAUCUUGGCGCCCUGAUCUCAGCCAUCCAGCCUCUGGAACUGUGAGAAAAUACAUUUCUGUUGUUUAAGCCACUAAGUGGAUGGCAUUUUGUUAUGGCAGCCCUGGCUAUGAUGGCAUAGAACACCCCCAGAGCUGUCUCACCCGCAAGGAGAGGAAGCUGGGUAGUUAACUCUGCUUUCUCCCUCACCAUCGGUUGAGGGCUCUUCCUGAUGGCAUUGAUCCCCUGGCACUGUUGGCCUACACCGUGCGAGGGCUGAGCAUGCUUCUGCCCGCUGUGGGCCAGAGAAGUCUUGAAGCCUUCGGCUUGCCUGGGUGGCAGGUCAGGAUGAUAAUCUGAAAACUGUCAUCAUAAGAAACAGAUACCUGCCAAUAACUCUGGAUGGCCACUUGGAAGGCUGCUAUUACAUGGACCUACCAACAUUUUCUAAGUGUGUCUCUCACUUUGCAUUUCCUUCACAUUUUUCCCAUUACUUGGAUCUUCAGCCUCACAUUGUUGUACACCAAUCAACACUCCCUGAGAAGGAAUCAACAUGGACUGGACAAGGAUUUGCUCACAGCCACCCCAUAUCUGGGUGGAGGGGCUGUCAGCAUUCCUGCACCUUUGAGCUGGAGAAGCAGCCGUGGGGCGAGGCUGCUGCAUGUGUGCUCAUUUACUUCUUGGACAAAGAGACGUGCCGUACUGACUACUGACCAGGCAUUGCGCUGGGCACAGUCAGAGGAACCUUCCAGCAAGCCUCUCACCUGCCUUCCUAAGGAGCAAGUGUGUUGUGAUGCUGAGUCCCCUCAGACUACAACCGCACAAGGACACAUUCAUCUACAUGUGAAAGAGCGUGAGCCCGAGAAGGAGGACCAACAUCUCCUAAAACGAGAAAUCACUCCCUGUCUUACCCAUAAGUGGCACCGUCUCACCUUACCCGGGAAGCCCUGUUUGACUCUUGGAAUGCUUACAGAUCUCCAUAUCCCUGAAAUCCUAUGAUGCUUAAGAGUUCAAAAUAUAUCAAAUUUCACAAACUCUAAGACGCCGUCACCUGAAGAGGCACCGUUAUUUUCUGUACCAUUAGGAAAACCUUCGAAUAAAACUGGCAACUAUAGAAUGUAAGACACAUCCUUAUUUCAGAAAGGUUAAGCUGUGAAAAACUUUGUCUUAGGCUCAGUGAAAUGCUGUAAUUUUUAGUGCUACAUAUUAUUCAUAAUUAUGAUGGACAUUACCACUGUUUCAUAGUUGCGUGUGUAUUUUCUGACUAGAACGUGUACUUCAUGAGGACAGAAUUCAUGCCUGGCUCAUUCACUGUUGCAGCCCUAACCAUCCAGCACACUGUCUGGUCCUAAAUAAAUGACUGAAUGAAUGGACUCCUAACAUGAAUGGAAAGUUCCUUGAAGACAGGGAUUAUGUAUUACGUGCUUAUGUAUAGUUAUUUUUAAAAUUGACAUGUAACAUACAUAUAGUAAAGCGCACUAAUCUCAAGUGUACAGACUAAAGUCUUUUUAUAUAUGUAUAUAUCUACAUUAUAAUCACUGAAAUUAAGAUAUAGAGCAUUUCUCUAUGGUACUUUCCCCAGUGCUGAGGAAAUAGGAGAUAUCCAUUAGUAUUUAUCUAUACUCAUUGAUUGAAUAAAUGGUCUCCAGCCACCUUUGCAUAGCUCAGUUUCAAUUCACUCCUGUUUAUCCUGGCUCAAUGAUUCUCAAAUUCUC